UACGUAGGUGGCAAGCGUUGUCCGGAUUUACUGGGCGUAAAGAGCGCGCAGGCGGCUGGUCAAGUCCGAUGUGAAAUCUCCCGGCUCAACUGGGAAACUGCAUCGGAAACUGAUCGGCUUGAAGGUGGGAGAGGGUAGUGGAAUUCCCGGUGUAGUGGUGAAAUGCGUAGAUAUCGGGAGGAACACCGGUGGCGAAGGCGGCGAUCUGGGUAGAUACUGACGCUGAGGUGCGAAAGCGUGGGGAGCAAACAGG
rnacentral:rRNA from 1 species